rnacentral:rRNA from 1 species
UACGUAGGGGGCGAGCGUUGUCCGGAUUUAUUGGGCGUAAAGAGCUCGUAGGCGGCUUGGCAAGUCGGGUGUGAAACCUCCAGGCUCAACCUGGAGACGCCACUCGAUACUGCCAUGGCUAGAGUCCGGUAGGGGACCACGGAAUUCCUGGUGUAACGGUGAAAUGCGCAGAUAUCAGGAGGAACACCGGUGGCGAAGGCGGUGGUCUGGGCCGGCACUGACGCUGAGGAGCGAAAGCGUGGGUAGCAAACAGG